UUUCCUUAACUUGCCUCCACUCACCUGUUCCAUCAUCAUGUGAGCUAGCAUUCAAAUUCAGCAUGCAGGAUGACAAGAUAAAGAAUAGGAGACAGAAGACACCAUACUGAAGAUUUACUUACCUGUCACUGAAGUUCCUGAGGUCCAGUUCCUGUUGUUUUCCUGUUCCUGGCACCUAUCCCUGAGAUCCUGGUUCCCGUCUGUGUUCCUGUUCCUGUUCAGUGUCUGCAAGAUAUGCUCACUCAGAAAGAAAGAGCAUCCCCAGCCACUCAGUGUUGCAGACGCUAUUGAAGACUUUUCUGCAAGUUCAAGAAAUCCAACAUCUCCAUGAGACCAAGUGGGUUUGUUGCUGGGUGGACCUCUGUGCUGAGAAAGACAAUUAAAAACAAUCAUUUACUUUUUGUAAUUCUGGAGGAACCAAGAGAGAAGAAGAGAUGAGCUCUGCAAAGACACGGGCCAAGUCAUCCAUCUCCUCCUCGCCUGUGGUGGAAAUAGUUCCCGUCCCUUCCCCGCUGAAAGUCUGCUGCUGGCCACAUUCUGGUGUGAACCCUGGCGGAGAUCUGUGGGAGGGGGAGGUGCAUACGACCCCUCCCGUGU